rnacentral:rRNA from 1 species
UACGAAGGGUGCAAACGUUGCUCGGAAUUAUUGGGCGUAAGGCGCACGUAGGCGGCCUUGUAAGUCGGAUGUGAAAUCCCUCGGCUUAACCGAGGACGUGCAUCCGAAACUGUGAGGCUCGAGUAUGGAAGAGGGUCGCAGAAUUCCCGGUGUAGAGGUGAAAUUCGUAGAUAUCGGGAGGAAUACCAGUGGCGAAGGCGGCGACCUGGGCCAAUACUGACGCUGAGGUGCGAAAGCGUGGGGAGCAAACAGG